AACGAACGCUGGCGGCAUGCCUAACACAUGCGAGUCGAACGAGACCUUCGGGUCUAGUGGCGCACGGGUGCGUAACGCGUGGGAACCUGCCCUUAGGUUCGGAAUAACUCCCCGAAAGGGGUGCUAAUACCGGAUAAUGUCUUCGGACCAAAGAUUUAUCGCCUUUGGAUGGGCCCGCGUUGGAUUAGCUAGUUGGUAGGGUAAAAGCCUACCAAGGCGACGAUCCAUAGCUGGUCUGAGAGGAAGAUCAGCCACACUGGGACUGAGACACGGCCCAGACUCCUACGGGAGGCAGCAGUGGGGAAUAUUGGACAAUGGGCGAAAGCCUGAUCCAGCAAUGCCGCGUGAGUGAUGAAGGCCUUAGGGUUGUAAAGCUCUUUUACCCGGGAUGAUAAUGACAGUACCGGGAGAAUAAGCUCCGGCUAACUCCGUG
rnacentral:rRNA from 1 species